GAGUUUGAUCCUGGCUCAGAACGAACGCUGGCGGCAUGCCUAACACAUGCAAGUCGAACGAGACCUUCGGGUCUAGUGGCGCACGGGUGCGUAACGCGUGGGAAUCUGCCCUUGGGUUCGGAAUAACUCAGAGAAAUUUGAGCUAAUACCGGAUGAUGUCGUAAGACCAAAGAUUUAUCGCCCAGGGAUGAGCCCGCGUAGGAUUAGCUAGUUGGUGAGGUAAAAGCUCACCAAGGCGACGAUCCUUAGCUGGUCUGAGAGGAUGAUCAGCCACACUGGGACUGAGACACGGCCCAGACUCCUACGGGAGGCAGCAGUGGGGAAUAUUGGACAAUGGGCGAAAGCCUGAUCCAGCAAUGCCGCGUGAGUGAUGAAGGCCCUAGGGUUGUAAAGCUCUUUUACCCGGGAUGAUAAUGACAGUACCGGGAGAAUAAGCUCCGGCUAACUCCGUGCCAGCAGCCGCAGUAAU
rnacentral:rRNA from 1 species